rnacentral:lncRNA from 1 species
GUUAUAAACAAAUAGUUAAAUGCUUGACGGAUAUUACAAACCAUAUUUAAUUUGAUCCUGACGUGAAUCGAAAUAUUUGUGUUAGGUUCAAUCAUACUCAAUCUUGACCAAUCCUAAUGAAUUGUUGGAUCUAAAAAAAAUCUUUUUCAUGGCCCUACCCAACCAACGCAAUCAGCCAAUAGAUCAAGUUCAUAUCCAAAAUCAAGACCCGAGUAUGAAAUGG